UAUCAACAACCAUAAUCAUUAUCAUAAAUGGGAUACAGAGAUAAAUAAAUAUACCUAUGGAUCCAUGCAAUGAUUAAUGACAUGAACAAUAGCAAUGAAUUGUGCGUAUGAUCCAAGGUCAAUCGUCUGUGCGAACAACAAUGUACUCGUCAGUCGUCGCCCAUCGGUCGGUUUUUGUCGCCCGACGCCCGGUCUGCACUGUAUCCAGAGUCGAGAGUCCUGACGGCUGACAUUUCAGAUGACGGAUUUUAAACAAUUACAAAUAAUUAUUAUUAUUAUUGUUUAAAAUCUCUGACUGUACAACCACAGAAUAAAUUACAUUAUUAUUACAAUUUUAAAUAAACGACAAAAUCCAUCUACUUCACUUUCA